ACAUAAUGAAGGUAUUGGCGCGCCUCAAUUUGAAGGCAUGGUUAAUAUAUGGAGACCUUAGCCAUGUGAUUCUGAUUGAGCCGCGUCAAUAUCUCCUUUUGCAUC
rfam:Prunus persica cultivar Lovell chromosome G3, whole genome shotgun sequence.